CAGCUGUUCGCUGUAAGUCGAAAUCUGAUUGGCUCUCGUAAAUUUGUAUGUCCAAUCAAAUCAGCGCAUGUAAAACCAUUAUUAUUCUCAAGGAGAUUAUUCUCUUCCACACCAUCUCAUGCCAACCAAUUUUGGCAAAAUCUUGCGUGUUAUGCACAUGUCAUGAGAUUUAGGAAAAGGCUGGGUCUGAGUGGAUUAGAACUUGGAUUUGGAGUUUUCUUGGGCGUUCUUGGCGGCUUUUACAUUUGGAAGCCGAUUUUUGAAGAAAAAUUUGGACCGCGGAAAUCUCAGCGAACUCCGGCAUUAGAAACACAACACGAAAAUGUCAACACAACCAGCACCAGUUAGCUUCUUGCAAAAAUAUAAAAUCCCCUUCGGUGUACUUGGGGUGAUGGCCUGUUAUGUAGUGUAUUUUAAACUUUACAGACCGAUGUCUAUGAAGGCUAAACGGGAGGAAAAUGAAAAAAUAGCUGAAAUAAUUUUUCAGAAUAGUCUUGUUGAGAGCAAUCAAGCUCGUAGUGAGAGUGGAGGAUAUAAUUCGUAAUUUUUAUUUGUACAUAACUUGUAUGAAGAAAAAAAAUUAAAAAAAGGUCAUAAUUGAAAAACGCUAUUACUUUA